AAACCAACAAAAAGGCAUUGUUUACGAGUCAGUGAAUUUAUAUA
rnacentral:guide_RNA from 1 species